GAUGAACGCUGGCGGCGUGCCUAAUACAUGCAAGUCGAGCGAACGGACGAGAAGCUUGCUUCUCUGAUGUUAGCGGCGGACGGGUGAGUAACACGUGGAUAACCUACCUAUAAGACUGGGAUAACUUCGGGAAACCGGAGCUAAUACCGGAUAAUAUUUUGAACCGCAUGGUUCAAAAGUGAAAGACGGUCUUGCUGUCACUUAUAGAUGGAUCCGCGCUGCAUUAGCUAGUUGGUAAGGUAACGGCUUACCAAGGCAACGAUGCAUAGCCGACCUGAGAGGGUUAUCGGCCCCCCUGGAACGGAGACACGGCCCAGCCUCCUAGGGGAGGCAGCAGUGGGGAAUCUUCCGCAAUGGGCGAAAGCCUGACGGAGCACCGCCGCGUGAGUGAUGAAGGUCUUGGGAUCGUAAAACUCUUUUAUUGGGGAAAAAAAUAUGUGUAAGUAACUGUGCACAUCUUGACGGUACCUAAUCAAAAAGCCCCGGCUAACUACGU
rnacentral:rRNA from 1 species